CGCGUAGGCGGUCGGACAAGUCGGGGGUGAAAUCCUGCAGCUUAACUGUAGAAGUGCCUUCGAUACUGUCCGUCUGGAGGGAGAUAGGGGUGUGCGGAACUUCCAGUGGAGCGGUGAAAUGCGUUGAUAUUGGAAGGAACGCCGGAGGCGAAAGCGGCGCACUGGAUCUCUUCUGACGCUGAGGCGCGAAAGCUAGGGGAGCAAACGGGAUUAGAUACCCCGGUAGUCCUAGCCCUAAACGAUGAGUACUAGAUUGUAGACUUAUCAUGGGUUUACAGUCGAAGCAAAAGUGUUAAGUACUCCGCCUGGGGAGUAUGGUCGCAAGGCUGAA
rnacentral:rRNA from 1 species